CAGUUAGUGGCCUAGUGGUUAAAGCGUCUGAUUCAGAUGCGGGAGGUCGUGGGCUCGAUCCCCAGUUGAGUGA